rnacentral:snRNA from 1 species
GUGCUCACUUUGGCAGCACAUAUACUCAAACUGGAAUGAUACAGAGAAAAUUAGCAUAGCCCCUGCACAAGAAUGACACAGAAAUUCGUGAAGCAUUCCAUAAAAUU